GUACGGGGGGGGCAAGCGUUGUUCGGAAUUACUGGGCGUAAAGGGCUCGUAGGUGGCCAACUAAGUCGAACGUGAAAUCCCCGGGCUCAACCCGGGAACUGCGUCCGAUACUGGAAAGGCUUGAAUCCGGGAGAGGGAUGCGGAAUUCCAGGUGUAGCGGUGAAAUGCGUAGAUAUCUGGAGGAACACCGGUGGCGAAGGCGGCAAUCCUGGACCGGCAUUGACGCUGAGGCGCGAAAGCCAG
rnacentral:rRNA from 1 species